rnacentral:rRNA from 1 species
AUUGAACGCUGGCGGCAGGCCUAACACAUGCAAGUCGAACGAGUGGCGGACGGGUGAGUAAUGUAUGGGAAACUGCCCGAUGGAGGGGGAUAACUACUGGAAACGGUAGCUAAUACCGCAUACCAUCGGAUGUGCCCAGAUGGGAUUAGCUUGUAGGUGGGGUAACGGCUCACCUAGGCGAAGAUCCCUAGCUGGUCUGAGAGGAUGACCAGCCACACUGUAACUGAGACACGGCCCAGCCUCCUACGGGAGGCAGCAGUGGGGAAUAUUGCACAAUGGGCGCAAGCCUGAUGCAGCCAUGCCGCGUGUAUGAAGAAGGCCUUCGGGUUGUAAAGUACUUUCAGCGAGGAGGCGUUACCCGCAGAAGAAGCACCGGCUAACUCCGUGCCAGCAGCCGCGGUAAUUC